rnacentral:rRNA from 1 species
UACGGGGGGUGCAAGCGUUAUCCGGAUUCACUGGGUUUAAAGGGUGCGUAGGAGGGCAGGUAAGUCAGUGGUGAAAUCUUCGAGCUUAACUCGGAAACUGCCGUUGAUACUAUCUGUCUUGAAUACCGUGGAGGUGAGCGGAAUAUGUCAUGUAGCGGUGAAAUGCUUAGAUAUGACAUAGAACACCGAUUGCGAAGGCAGCUCACUACACGAAUAUUGACUCUGAGGCACGAAAGCGUGGGGAUCAAACAGG